rnacentral:rRNA from 1 species
GACGAACGCUGGCGGCGUGCUUAACACAUGCAAGUCGAACGGAAAGGCCCUGCUUUUGUGGGGUGCUCGAUUGGCGAACGGGUGAGUAACACGUGAGUAACCUGCCCUUGACUUUGGGAUAACUUCAGGAAACUGGGGCUAAUACCGGAUAGGAGCUCCUGCUGCAUGGUGGGGGUUGGAAAGUUUCGGCGGUUGGGGAUGGACUCGCGGCUUAUCAGCUUGUUGGUGGGGUAGUGGCUUACCAAGGCUUUGACGGGUAGCCGGCCUGAGAGGGUGAACGGCCACAUUGGGACUGAGAGAGGGACCAGACUCCUACGGGAGGCAGCAGUGGGGAAUAUUGCACAAUGGGCGGAAGCCUGAUGCAGCAACGCCGCGUGCGGGAUGACGGCCUUCGGGUUGUAAACCGCUUUCGCCGGUGACGAAGCGUGAGUGACGGUAAUGGGUCAAGAAGCACCGGCUAACUACGUG